rnacentral:misc_RNA from 1 species
GAUGAAGACGUAGCGAAAUGCGAUACUUGGUGUGAAUUGCAGAAUCCCGUGAACCAUCGAGUCUUUGAACGCAAGUUGCGCCCGAAGCCACUAGGCCGAGGGCACGCCUGCCUGGGCGUCACACGCCGUUGCCCCCCCAUCUACUCCUUCGGGAUUGCGGGGGGGCGGAUGAUGGCCUCCUGUGCGCCUAGCCGCGCGGUUGGCAUAAAUACCAAGUCCUCGGCGACGCACGCCACGACAAUCGGUGGUUGCGAAACCUCGGUUGCCCGUCGUGUGCGUUCGUCGCGCAUCGAGGGCUCGAAAAAAUGCUCGGCUCCGGCUGGGCUUUCAACGCGACCCCAGGUCAGGCGGGGUUACCCGCUGAAUUUAAGCAUAUCAAUAAGCGGAGGA